rnacentral:rRNA from 1 species
UAGGGAAUCUUCGGCAAUGGACGAAAGUCUGACCGAGCAACGCCGCGUGAGUGAAGAAGGUUUUCGGAUCGUAAAACUCUGUUGUUAAGGAAGAACACGUAUGAGAGUAACUGUUCAUACGUUGACGGUAUUUAACCAGAAAGUCACGGCUAACUACGUGCCAG